GACAGAGGUGCCAAGCGUUUAGGCGGAAUCACUGGGCUUAAAGCGUGUGUAGGCGGGUGCCUAAGUACCUUGUGAAAUCCCCCGGCUCAACCGGGGAACGGCUGGGUAUACUGGGUGCCUUGGGUCAUCUAGGGGCUGCCGGAACAAAUGGUGGAGCGGUGAAAUGCGUAGAUAUCUGGAGGAACAUCAGUGGCGAAGGCGACACCCUGGACUCAUACUGACACUGAGGUGCGAAAGCGUGGGGAGCAAACAGG
rnacentral:rRNA from 1 species